GUUUCCCAAUGUUGGACAUUUUAGGGUGUUUUCAAUAUUUUCUUCUUUUUUUUUGAGAUGGAGUUUUGCUCUUCUUGCCCAGGUUGGAGUGCAAUGGCACAAUCUUGGCUCACUGCAACCUCUGCCUCCCGGGUUCAAGCAAUUCUGCUGCCUCAGCCUCCCAAGUAGCUGAGAUUACAGGCAUGUGCCACCACGCCCGGCUGAUUUUUGUAUUUUUAGUAGAGGUGGGGUUUCACCAUGUUGGUCAGGCUGGUCUCAAACUCCUGACCUCAGGUGAUCCACGCACCUCGGCCUCCCAAAGUACUUGGAUUACAGGCAUGAGCCACUGCACCCGGCCAAUAUUUUCUUCUUAUAACUAAUAUUGAAAUGGACUGCACAUUCUUAAUUAUUUAUUUAAGAUAAAUCCAAGUAAUGGAAUAACUGAGUCAAAAGGUAUAUCCAUCUUUAAACAUUUGUUACGUAUUCCUAAAUUGCUUUCCAAAAAGUUGCAUCAAUUAACUAUCUCACUAUCUCAGCAGCAGUGAUUGGGAGUGGCUGUUUUUGGCACCUUGCCAACAUCAGGUACUGUCUUUUUUUUUUUUUUUUUUUUUCCUGGGUUGAGAUGAUGAGUUUAUUGGCACAGUCAAUAUUCACAUAUUCAUACUUUGGCUUCUUCAGACACCUUGAACUUUGGGACUAGACUUUAUACAGAGUCAAACACCACGUAGAAGCACGUGGGCCCCACGAGCAACACUCCUGCUUCUUAGUGAGGGAGACAAGCUACCCAUGUCUCAUGAUCAAAGUACUUUUUAAUUCUUACAUAGAAACCUUAAUUUGCUCUGGCCUCCAAAAGACUUUAAUCCUGGCCUCCAAAUUCGUCUCAAGGGAUGUUCUCUUCACCUGGGGCUGGUUUAAACAGAGGCCGCCUCACCAGAGCAGCCUUUCAGUCCUUCAGGAGUCUCUAUCCCAUGAUACGUACAUGUAGGUUUGUGCAGGCAGGGAACACACAUGACAGAGAACUGCUUUGGUGGUACUGGAUGGGUGGUGUUUCUUCACUGGAUUUUGGUGACUGUUUCACAGAUGGAGGUGGCCACAUAAUCUAGAUUUUAUGUGGUUAAGCCACACAUGUUGAUUCGACCACUCGGCAGCAAAUAGAUGGUUUUUUUGUCUGAUUUUAGGUAUUGUCAUUUAUUAAAUGCCAUUAUGUAAAGCAGGUCACUGUCAGCUCUGAUCUGGAUGACAUCUAAUGGCCUCUUAAUGGUGCCCCAGUCAACACACUCCUCACUUCAAUGAACUCUUCAUGCUCUACCCAAAGUGUUUCUUCUAACUUGUGAAUCUGAUCCCUUCCCUGUUUGAAAUCUUUUAAUAGCUUCUAUAACCCAUAGAAUGAGGCCUCAGUGUCUUUACGGUUCAUGAGGUUCUUCAUGUCCCAGUUCUACCUGUUCCUUUGGGGUCUUCUCUAUCAUCUCAUCACCUGCCUCUAUGCCCCAGGCAUACUGAACUUAUUUCUGUUUUUAGGAGUUACUCAUUUUCUCUGUUGGUCUCUGUCUCUUCCUCUCUCUCUGCCUCCUGAUAUCUGCGCCAUACAAGUUCUUGAGGUUGGACCAUUCACUUUCUUCCUCUAACUCUAGCUAACCGCCUUCUCUUCCAUCAGUGAAGAGCAUUUGGACUUUGUCAGAGCUGAGAUGCUGAGACUGGCGUCUGGCGCUAGGCAACACCGCCCCCUUGAGGAGCUCUGCAUGCUCUGAGCCAACCAGCUGGCUAUCUCCUGGAAUGCUUGCAGAACAUAACUGAUGGCUAUUUAGGGAUCCUGAUGCCAGCCAUAUCCCAAUGAUCUCUUCAAAUGUUGCCUCUGCCUCAUCCACUCUCCUCUUGAUUCUUCUGGGAUUUCAAAAAGCCUGUUAGACCUCCUCCGUGGAUCCUCAGGGUCUCUGACUCUGUCUUUUGUAUUUUCUAUCUCUUUGUUUCUCUGUGUUGCAUUCUAAUAGUUUCUUCUCUCCCAUCUUCCAGUUUGCCAAUUCUCUCUCCAGCCAUGUAUAAUGUACUAUUAAGUCAUCUUGUAGCAAGCUAUUGAUUUUGGUUAUUGCAUUUUAAAAUUUUAGAAUUUCUAUUUGGUUCUUUUUCAGCUCCAUCAUGCUACUUUUAAAUAUAUAUUCCAGGUCUCUACUAAAACUUUUAAGCCUCUGUAUUAUUUCUAUAAACAUAGCAUAGUUGUUGUAUAGUUUGCAUAUGAUAAUCUUAGUGGUAGGUCUUUGUGUAUCUAUUUCUGUUGUUUGGUCUUUCUGCUCUUUUUUGCAUAUAGCAUUUGGUUUCUGAGUGCACCUGGUUAUCUUUCACUAUGCAUUCAUUGUAGUGUUUGAAAAGUUGUUUGUGGUAGUGAUAUGAAGCCUAAGGUGAGGACAUGUUCAUCCUGAGAGCAUUUUCAUUUGUUUCUGCUAGGUGCUUAGAGGUGCUAUUAGCCUAGGCCUUCCUUAAUCUAAGUUCAAUUCUUGAGCUUCCCUUGGCCACCGAGGCACGGUAAAACCAGGCUGCAGGUCACUGUGGGAUUUUUCUUCCAAUUCACUUUGUUCUGAGGCUGUGUCCUUCUGGGUACCUGGAGAGGGGAUGUCCUACCACCGUACCUAUUUUUGGUGGGCUCUGCAUUUUGUCUUUGUCUUCUUGGGUUUGGGAAUUUGCCAGAUUAAGUUUUCAACUGUAUCUUUGGAUCAACAAAUGAAAUACACUCAGAAUAAAGGCAGUGGGCUUACCUCUGAGCACUGGGCUUACCUCUCUAGGUUCUUAACCUCUCUUAGAUUAGAGCUCAGUAAUUUCUCACUAGUGUGUUUUGAUGUUUGAUGCUUUAAAAGGUAAUCCAGAUUUUUUAGUUAUCCUAGGAAGCUGGAUUGAUCCUAAUCACUUUACUUUCCAUGCCAGAGGUGGAAAUAGCUAUUUCCUAUUUUCCUUGGCUCUAGGAAUGCCAAGGGAGAAAAUUUUAGCUCUGGGUUGCAGUUCAGAUAUGAAAAGAUCUCUCUGGACUGUAUAUAUGCACUCUGAGGCUGAAAGAGGCCAAGCCAGAAGGAGAAACCAAAGCCCCUUUUCAGCUCCUUAGAUGGAUGGCAGGGUAUGUGCACAGUACCCUGUCUGGCGGUCAUUUGUCUGGAGCACUUCUCUUGUGCUAAGGCAGGUUGUGUCCCUGUCUCCACUACUUGGCUUUCAGAUACUGUAACAGAGCUAGGGCAUGACAAUCUGCAACUCCCAGAAUGCACUUCUACCAGGGUUCUUCUGGUCACUGGCCCUAUCCACAGCCCUUGAUUUUAGAAAGCACAUUUCCUGGCAUGCAAUGCACCUCUGUCAGUCCCCAGCCCCAAUCUUGCUUCUUUUUUAAUUGUGUUCUGACAAUCUCUGACUGAAUGUAGAAAAUGGGAUGAAAGGAGAGGAAAGGAGGAAAAAAGUGCUGGCUGCCCAUUUUUCUUGUUGGUCCAGACCUUGAGUCAGGGUCAGGCUGAAUAAUGGCCCCCCAAAGAUGUCCACUGUCCACAUCUUAAUCCUGGGAGUUGUGACUGUGUUACCAUAUGUGACACUUGCUGCUCUGAUUAAGUUAAUGAUGUUGGUGGGAGGCUGGCUUGAGCCCAGGAGUUCAAGACCAGCUGGCACAACAUGGCAAAAACCCAUCCCUACAAAAAAAACAAAAAAACAAAAAACCGGAGAAAUUAGCCAGGUGUGGCAGUGCAUCCCUGUGGUCCCAGCUACUCAGGAGGCUAAAGUGGAAGGAUCAUUUGAGCCUGGGAAGUUGAGGCUGCAGUGAGCUGUGAUCAUGCCCCUGCAUUCCAGCCUGGGUGACAGAAUGAGAAAAAAAUAAAUAAAUGAAAAAGAAUCAAAAAAAGUUAAUCAUGUUGAAAUGAGGAGCAUAUUCUACAUUAUUCAGGUGGUCCCAAUGUAAACAUGAAGGUUCUUAGGAGAGGGAGGCAACAGGAGGGUCCUUAGGAGAGGGAGGCAAGGUGUCAGAGUCAGAGAGGAAGGUGUGAUGACAAGCAGAGGCUGGGGUGAUGGGAGGGACUCCGAGGCAAGGAUUGCAGGUGGCCUCUAGAAGCUGGAAAAGGUGAAGACACGGAUUCUCCCUUGGAACUCCAGAAGGAAUGCAACCCUGCUGACACCUUGAUUUUAGGAUAUCUGACAUCUAGGACUGUAAGAUAAAUUUGUCUUGUUUUAAACCACAAAGUUUGUAGUACUUUGUAACAGCAGCAAUAGAAAAUGAAUGCAGGCAGACCAUUGAUAUAUCAUCCAGUUUUAUAACUCCUGUAAUUAGGGGAAAUGAUUCUCAGAUUGUAGAAACAGGUCAAUGGUCUCAACAAAACCCAUCAUGACUUUUGGGUGAGGUUGAGUUUUGUCUUUUUCUGUGCCUUUUAUACUGCUGCUUCUUCCUUUUGUGUGUUCCUUAUUUGAUUUCACAUAGGCAUCUUAUCACAAUGUGGUAACUGCCCUGGAUUUCUGAUAUAUUCUUUCUGAGCAGAAAAGAGUCACUUCCUUUUCACAGUGAUGAGGCAGGUUAUUUAUCCCCAUCCAGUUCAUGUCAGUUGUGCAUUUCCUGUGUUAAGUCCAGUGUUAAUCACCGGCCCAAAUUUUGAAAGUCCCCAUGGGGAAAUAAAAUGAAAUAGAAAGGCCGGGUGUAAUGGCUCAUGCCUGUAAUCCCAGCACAUUGGGAGGCUGAGGCAGGAGGAUGGUUUGAGCCCAGAAGUUCAAGCCCAGCCUGGGCAACAUGGGGAAACACUGUCCCUACAAAUAAAUAAGUAAAUAAAUUGGCCAAGCGUGGUGGGACAUACCUGUAGUCCCAGCUACUUGGGAAGAUGAGGUGGGAGGAUCACCUGAGCCUGGGAGGUCAAGGCUGCAGUGAGCCAUGAUUACACCAUUGCAUUCUAGCCUGGGCAGCAGAGUGAGACCCUCUGUCUCUCUCAAAAAGAGUAAAAUGCAGUAAAUAUUCCACCUACUUCAAAUACUCCAUUGAAGAUGCCUUCAGUGUUUUAGAUUAUGGCCUAGGCAUUUAAAACAGGCUUUUGACAGUGCUAGGAAAAGGCAGCGUGACAUGGCAGGCAGAAGACGAGCAGCCCCUUCAUCUCCCUGUGCUCCUGCUGCUCUUUCAGGAAGUGGGGAUUGAUGAUUUUGAAAUUUAUUUUACAUUUUAUCUAUUUACAUAAACUUGGAGCCAUGAGAACAGAAAGCACAGUCCUUGCUUUUGCUCUUGCAUUCAUCAGGGGAGACAAGCGGCUCAAGAAAUAAUUAUCAUGCAGCAUGUUCAAAUUGCUAUGGGACAAUGAUGACAUGAGCAUGUAACUGAACCAGGAGGAGCUGGUAAUGGCAUGCAUUAAUUCAUACUACUCCAUGCAAGCACUGUGUCAGUUGCUGGAUGAUUCUUCACCUUGUGAAUGAUAUGAAGCUGUGGAAGGAAAUUUGUUUGAAACCCUAGGCCACACGUGCUCAGGACUCCCUCACCUCCACCCCAGAGGUGUCCCUGCUUGUUUUGAAGUGAUGACACAUCUGUA
rnacentral:lncRNA from 1 species